rnacentral:lncRNA from 1 species
UGCUAAGCUACCGCAGCCCCUUCCACAGGCCUUCCGAGCUGGGGAAGGGGAGAUGUGCAGAUGGCGCCAGGGUCCUGUGAAAGCAGUCCUCAAGGCCUCGGGCCAGAAGGCUUUGUUAAAGGAAGGACUUAUCUCAUCCAUCCAUCCAUCCCACUAAUAUUUAUCGAACACUUCCUACGUGCCAGGCUCCGUGCCAGGUAGUGAGGAUACAGGCAUGAGCCUGCCUCUCCACUCUGCUCUGCAGCCCACUCCACUCUUUGUUAACUAAGCCUCAGAUCUCCAGCUCCCGAAGAUAACGACAGCAUGGGACACUGUGCAGCCAUCGCUGUGAGCCGGGCACUGUUUUAAGGGCUUAACGCUUAUCUACUCAUCUGAUCCUCACCACUGUGCCAGGAGGGGCCGAUUCCAACAUUAUCCCCAUUUUACAGAGGAAAGAGGAGGCACAGUGAUGGGAGCAACCAUUUACUGGCCAAAAGCUAGGAUGAAAGCCAGGAUUAAACCCAGCACAUCUGAUUCCCAAGGAUGUCCUUUUAACCAUAAACUCUGCUGUGGUGGUCUGCCUUAGUUCAGAGCAACGGGAAGGCAACAGAAGGUGUUAAGCAGGGGGCGAACUUGAUCACAAGGUUUUUCAAGACCAAGACUGGCUGUGAAAGCAGCCAGGAUCAGGGCAGGAGGGGGUGGAGACGAGCCUGGCAGGAGGCCUUUGCACAGGUCUAGGUUCCAACGUCACUUCAGGGACAAGGACAAAGGACCUGCAGUGCUGGAACUGGCCAUUUUUCUGUUGGAACAUCUGAAGAUAAACUUUGGAAGAACUGCCUUUCAAUCUGUCAUUGUUAUAAACCCCCAGUAUUCAAUAGGAGGAGGAUUCCAUGUGCUUUUUUUCCCUUUGAUCUUGCCAUCACUGUGGAUAAAGUAUGGAAACUUGGUGUCAGACAACUGUGCCAUAUUUGUCAGCUUGGCAAAUCGCAUCACCUUCCCGAGCCUCAGGCUCCUUAUCUUUAAAAUGGGAGUUAAACAGAGUCGCUGCUGGAAGCAAAUGGGAUCAUCCUGACUUUUUUUUUUUAAUGAUUCUAUUUAUUUAU